rnacentral:lncRNA from 1 species
UGUAGUGUGGGGACAUAGGGGUGAGAGUGUGGAUGGUUGUUAAAGAAUAACUUAUAUUAAGCGUGACCAACAUGAGAAAUAACUUGGAUGUCCACUCACUCGUCAGAGAUUUUCUUAAUACUGUAGUGGUAUGUCUGAUCUUUUGACCUGCAGUGUGUUGGUCAUUCGCAGUGAGGUUACUUAGUUUGACUGCACAUUCUCUUGGUCCCU